GACGAACGCUGGCGGCGUGCUUAACACAUGCAAGUCGAGCGGUAAGGCCCUUUCGGGGGUACACGAGCGGCGAACGGGUGAGUAACACGUGGGUGACCUGCCUUUAGCUCUGGGGAUAAGCCUGGGAAACGUGGGUCUAAUACCGGAUACGACUCCGCGGUGCAUGCUGUGGGGUGGAAAGCCUUGUGCGGCUGGAGAUGGGCCCGCGGCCUAUCAGCUUGUUGGUGGGGUGAUGGCCUACCAAGGCGACGACGGUAGCCGGCCCUGAGAGGGCGACCGGCCACACUGGGACUGAGACACGGCCCAGACUCCUACGGGAGGCAGCAGUGGGGAAUCUUGCGCAAUGGGCGAAAGCCUGACGCAGCGACGCCGCGUGAGGGAUGACGGCCUGG
rnacentral:rRNA from 1 species